GGAGGUGCUUGGCAGUUGAGUGAGGAGUGUGGCUUGGAUGUAGCUGACAAGUGGUUUGCUCUCGAAGGGUAGGUGCCGUGGCAGCCUCACCAUGCUCUGAAGGAAGAGCUCCAUUUCCUGGGAGGACUACAGGCCCUUGGCCGUCCUGUGAUUGGGCAUCUCGGCUGUACUUGUUGCAAGUGGAUUGCUCUGAAAGUGGGAGGUGCUGUGACGGGCUCACUGUGCACAUGGAAGGAAAGUCUCUGUUUCCCGGGGAGACUGUGUGCUCUGCCAUCUUGUGAAGUUGUGCUUGGGAUGCAACCACCACAGUUGGGUCACCCUAGAUGUCUAGGUGGCUCUUUAUAAAUGAAAGAGAAUUGUCUGCAGAGAGCAUCCUGCUAUGUACCCAGAGGUGCUGAAAGCCCCAG